UUUAUUUAUUGAAAUUCUAAAUAUUGUCAUUUAAAUUCACACAAUUUUUAAUAAAUAUACAUACAAGUAUAUACGAUAUUUAAUUGCUGGCUCAGCAACAAUUUGGAGACUACUCAACAUCUGUUUACCUUUUAGCCAAGUGGCAACUACGUAGCCGCCAUUGUCACAUUCGUUCUGUUCUUUUGGAAUUCGUUCAUUUUAAUUUUGGACUUGGAAGAAUUAACUUCACUAAUCAACGUUUUGAAAGAAUUGUAAAAAUACCUAAUCGGAAUGACGAUUUUUAGUAAAAUAUUACUAAAAUCGUAUAGGCAUAAAUAUGUAGCAACUAUAAUUUGUACAAGUUGAACAUUAUUUGAAGGAUGGCGUUGAAAAUAGCUGAUAAAAUUAGCACACCCAGCCUCGUGACGGAUAAAUGGGUUUUGUUGAACAAAAUGACUUUAGAUGUCUUAAUAAAGAUGGAAAAUUGAUGCAGCGGCUUAUAAAAUGUGCAGUUGGAACUGAGUAAUCUUUGUUUUAAUUUUACAAACAGCUGAGCGACAAAGCCUGGUUAUACUGGAUAAGAAGACCAAAAUAUUUAAAAAAAAGAUUGCAGAUGCAGUUUAAUAUGAAAAUAAAUGAAAAAAGUGGGAAACUGCAUAUACAAAAGGUUUGCUGAAGGUUGUGAAUAAUAUAUUUUACAUUGAAAUAUUGAAGGCACAUGAAAAGUUAAAAUGCGCUUAUAAUCAUUGGAAAGGAUUGGAAGUGUACCCGAAGUAAAGGUGAUUUUGUAUUCUCUUUGGAUUUGCAGCCUUCAAAAAUGUGUAUACUAGUAUAUUUAAAUAAACUAAAUAAAAAGAAAAUAUUUUUAAACUAAA